rnacentral:rRNA from 11 species
AUGCAUGUCUAAGUAUAAGCAAUUAUACCGUGAAACUGCGAAUGGCUCAUUAAAUCAGUUAUCGUUUAUUUGAUAAUACCUUACUACUUGGAUAACCGUGGUAAUUCUAGAGCUAAUACAUGCUGAAAAUCCCGACUUCGGAAGGGAUGUGUUUAUUAGAUAAAAAACCAAUGCCCUUCGGGGCUUUUUGGUGAUUCAUGAUAACUUUACGGAUCGCAUAGCCUUGCGCUGGCGACGGUUCAUUCAAAUUUCUGCCCUAUCAACUUUCGAUGGUAAGGUAUUGGCUUACCAUGGUUUCAACGGGUAACGGGGAAUUAGGGUUCGAUUCCGGAGAGGGAGCCUGAGAAACGGCUACCACAUCCAAGGAAGGCAGCAGGCGCGCAAAUUACCCAAUCCCGACACGGGGAGGUAGUGACAAUAAAUACUGAUACAGGGCUCUUUUGGGUCUUGUAAUUGGAAUGAGUACAAUUUAAACCUCUUAACGAGGAACAAUUGGAGG